rnacentral:rRNA from 1 species
AUGGGUUUCGCGCAGCUCGUCAUCGGCCCCGCCGGCAGCGGCAAGUCGACCUACUGCUCUGGUCUGUAUCAACAUUGCGAGACGGUGGGCAGGAGGAUUCAUAUGGUCAACCUGGAUCCAGCUGCAGAGCACUUCAGCUAUCCCGUAUCUACUGACAUUAGAGAGCUCAUAUCACUGGAUGAUGUCAUGGAGGAGCUUGGGAUGGGACCAAAUGGCGGCCUCAUCUAUUGCAUGGAGCACCUUGAAGACAAUUUGGAUGAUUGGUUGGAUGAACAAUUGGAGAACUACUUGGAUGAUGACUAUCUUGUGUUUGAUUGUCCAGGCCAGAUUGAACUCUUCACUCAUGUUCCAGUUCUGCGUAACUUUGUUGAGUAUCUGAAACGGAAAAAUUUCACUGUUUGCGCUGUGUACCUUUUGGAUUCGCAGUUUGUCAGUGAUGUCACAAAAUACAUUAGCGGUUGCAUGGCUUCUCUUUCUGCUAUGAUUCAACUUGAGCUUCCUCAUAUCAACAUCCUUUCAAAGAUGGACCUGGUUUCCAAUAAAAAAGAUGUAGAAGACUAUCUGAACCCUGAGGCACAGGUUCUUCUGUCACAGCUGAAUCGGCAGAUGGCACCUCGGUUUCACAAGUUAAACAAGGCUUUAGCUGAACUGGUUGAUGAUUACAACAUGGUGAAUUUCAUACCACUUGAUUUGAGGAAGGAGAGCAGCAUUCAGUAUGUGCUGUCAAACAUCGACAACUGCAUCCAGUACGGGGAAGACGCCGAUGUGAAGGUUAGGGACUUCAUUCCCGAGGAGGAUGAUUAA